CAGCCGCCGCGGGAAAACAGAGGGUGCGAGCGUUAAUCGGAUUUACUGGGCGUAAAGCGUGCGUAGGCGGCUUUUUAAGUCGGAUGUGAAAUCCCUGAGCUUAACUUAGGAAUUGCAUUCGAUACUGGGAAGCUAGAGUAUGGGAGAGGAUGGUAGAAUUCCAGGUGUAGCGGUGAAAUGCGUAGAGAUCUGGAGGAAUACCGAUGGCGAAGGCAGCCAUCUGGCCUAAUACUGACGCUGAGGUACGAAAGCAUGGGGAGCAAACAGGAUUAGAGACCCGGGUAGUCCCUGUCUCUUAUAC
rnacentral:rRNA from 1 species